CUGCUGGUGGCGCAGUUGGUAGCGCUACUGCCUUGCAGCAAGAAGGUCCUGGGUUCGACUCCUGGCUGGGGGU